AGAGUUUGAUCCCUGGCUCAGGAUGAACGCUGGCGGCGUGCCUAAUACAUGCAAGUCGAGCGAAUGGAUUGAGAGCUUGCUCUCAAGAAGUUAGCGGCGGACGGGUGAGUAACACGUGGGUAACCUGCCCAUAAGACUGGGAUAACUCCGGGAAACCGGGGCUAAUACCGGAUAACAUUUUGAACCGCAUGGUUCGAAAUUGAAAGGCGGCUUCGGCUGUCACUUAUGGAUGGACCCGCGUCGCAUUAGCUAGUUGGUGAGGUAACGGCUCACCAAGGCAACGAUGCGUAGCCGACCUGAGAGGGUGAUCGGCCACACUGGGACUGAGACACGGCCCAGACUCCUACGGGAGGCAGCAGUAGGGAAUCUUCCGCAAUGGACGAAAGUCUGACGGAGCAACGCCGCGUGAGUGAUGAAGGCUUUCGGGUCGUAAAACUCUGUUGUUAGGGAAGAA
rnacentral:rRNA from 1 species